ACUCAGUGAUAUGAUUCCAGUUGAUCCUUCUGACUCACCUCUGUGGGCUCAAUAGCAGGGAGAUGAAGAGGACAGUGACUGAGAGA
rnacentral:snoRNA from 1 species